AGCUUUGUGCAGUGGCAGUAUCAUAGCCCAUGAGGUUUAUCCGAGGCGUGAUUAUUGCUAAUUAAAUAAACUAUGGAAAGGAUGAUUGAGGAAAACUGUAAAACUCACACAUAGCCUAGGAUUAAAAAUGAUGACAUGGUUUUUAAACU
rnacentral:snRNA from 1 species